CCCAGCUCACCCUGGGCGCAGACCGAGUCCUGCCCAGCCCCCCGCUGCAGGCUGCUGUCGUGCUGUGAGGGCACAGGGGCCGAGUCCUGCUCUUCCACACCAGUCUUCUCCAGGAGCGGAAUACCCCAGCAAACAUGACAUUUGAUGUGGAACACCAGCAGGAAUGCCACCCCACACCUUGUCAAAUCUCAUACACCAUCUCAUACAAUCUCUUGCACCAGACUCCCCGCUCAAUGCCGACGCCACGGCCACCAGUACGGAUUCUUCACAUCCAGAGAAGUGGAUGUCUUCUUAAUUACUUAGGACAGGCAGCAGGGCAGUGGUCUGGAGAGCUGGCGAAGAUCUGAUCCUGGAUCCAGAUUACACGUCCCGGACGUCUGCCCUGGGGAGCUGGACCCACGCCGGGCAUCUUCCAAGCUAGCAGGAGAAUCUGAGCUGCCAGGAAUUGAAAAGCAGACGAUUUGCUCUGGUUUGGAGCCUGAGCCCCUAGGAGCCGCAGAGCAUUUGCUCUCCAUGUGAACUGCCUGAAGGUACAGCUCGGUAACCCCGGGCCACGUUUAGGACAUGUGUUCUCCUGUAGUCUUCGAAGACACGCCUUUGCUUUGCAAACCACACUGCGAAAAUUGGCUCUGGCUUUCCUAGAUGCAGCACAACCUCCGAUCAAACUUAAUUAAAGCAAGAGGAGUCGUACUCAUCUUGCGUUUUCUCCCAGGCAUAGUUUUUCUUCUGACUGGGACUUGAGGGCGUUCAGUCGGGUGCCUUGGGCUGCAGAGGCGGCCGCUGGUGCAACUGACAGGCUGCGAAGCUGUCCCCGGGGAGAGCAGCCCGUGGGGCUGGCACAGCUAGAACAGGUCCCUUAAGUCCCCCCAUCCAGCCAGGUCGACCGCGGGCAGCUAGAGGGCCUGCCUUAGCAGGGCUCUCACUCCAGAACAGGGCCAGCACACAGCCAGGGGUCA
ensembl:lncRNA